UCGCAUCCAUUAAAAACGCANCNAAAUGCGAUAAGUAAUGUGAAUUGCAGAAUUCAGUGAAUCAUCGAAUCUUUGAACGCACCUUGCGCCCUUUGGCUAUUCCGAAGGGCAUGCCUGUUUGAGUAUCAUGAACACCUCAACUCUCAUGCUUUGCCAUGAUGAGCUUGGACUUUGGGGGUCUUGCUGGCCUGUGGUCAGCUCCUCUCAAAUGAAUCAGCUUUCCAGUGUUUGGUGGCAUCACAGGUGUGAUAAAUAUCUACACUUGUGGUUUCCUGCCAAGUAACCUUCAGCAAUGGGGGUUUGCUGGAGCUCAUAAACGUCUCUCCUCAGCGAAGACAGCUUUGUAAAUGUUUGAUCUCAAAUCAGGUAGGACUACCCGCUGAACUUAAGCAUAUCAAUAAAGCGGAGGAAGGG
rnacentral:rRNA from 1 species